ACUCCUACGGGAGGCAGCAGUGGGGAAUAUUGCACAAUGGGCGCAAGCCUGAUGCAGCCAUGCCGCGUGUGUGAAGAAGGCCUUCGGGUUGUAAAGCACUUUCAGUCGUGAGGAAGGUAGUGUAGUUAAUAGCUGCAUUAUUUGUACGUUAGCGACAGAAGAAGCACCGGCUAACUCCGUGCCAGCAGCCGCGGUAAUACGGAGGGUGCGAGCGUUAAUCGGAAUUACUGGGCGUAAAGCGCAUGCAGGUGGUUUGUUAAGUCAGAUGUGAAAGCCCGGGGCUCAACCUCGGAAUAGCAUUUGAAACUGGCAGACUAGAGUACUGUAGAGGGGGUUAGAAUUUCAGGUGUAGCGGUGAAAUGCGUAGAGAUCUGAAGG
rnacentral:rRNA from 1 species